rnacentral:tRNA from 1 species
GGGCGAGUGGCGGAACUGGCAGACGCGCAGGAUUUAGGUUCCUGUCUCGCGAGAGGUGGGGGUUCGAGUCCCCCCUCGCCCA